UUUAACUUUUGGUCACUCUCAUUUUUGGAACUCUUGGACUCACAAACACAUGGAACCCACAUAUGGGAAUAUUACAAUGAUUAUAUGCAUUACAGGAUUUAGUUAAUCAUCUCUUGUUUCCUCCAUUGUCCAAAUCAUUGCAUCGAAUGGGUCGUAUAUGAGAUCAGUGCCACGUGUAGGAUCACAAAAUUAAGAUAUACUAUUAGCGAACAUGGUUACCCUUCACUUUAUAAGGAAGUGAGACAGUACGUUGGAUGCGCUGCAAAGCAGCGGUGGUGGUGCUAAACGGCAAAGGGAAAAAGUUCAAGAACGUCUAUGCUUCCAAUGGUGGGCGUGCAAAUCUAAUGGUAUCUAUAGUAAUCCAAUCAAAUAUAAUGGUAGGAGAAAUUGUUCUCAUUGUUUGAAGUUCGACACUGAACAUGAAGGUAUGUGAAUCUCGGAUGCGGUCAACAUGGCGAGAUCAAGAAUGUUUUUUCCCAAACUAUGUCAUAAUGAUAUACUUUCCCAAAUAGCUGUUUGAUUCAGCAAAUACAAGAGGGCUGCGCUGUAUUGUUCGAUUUGAUUCAUUGUAAUUUCUUGGAAGAUUAAUUUGAUGUAACCUUGUUUGAUUGGAUUUUGUUUUUCUUUAAUACCUAUUGUAAAUGUUGUUUGACCUUCAAUUAAUGAAAUUUCUCGUUCAAAAAAAAAAAAUACAGAACAAAAAAAUUUAAGGGGCACAACUUAGAAAAAGAAGAAAUAUAUGCUGAAUAAAAAUAUAGGAAUUGAUGUUUGAUUAAAUGGUGAACUUUCUCACCUUCCCUAAAAAAGACUAGGGUUUAACUUAAGGGAGAUUAGAGAGAAAUAUAUGCUGAAUAAAAAUAAGGGCUUGUUUGGGAACUAGGAUUUCAUUUGAAAUUCUGAAUUUGGCCCAAAUCAGGUGUUUGGGUACUCAAUAGAAUUGGAUUUGAAAUUGGGCCAAUUACAACUCAAUUCCAAACCAUGUUAGAAAAAGCUAUUUUCAAAUCAGACCCCCUCCCCAUGUGAUUUCAAAUUCUGGCCCAGUCCAAAUGUCAGCCCUUCCCCUAAAAAAACCACGAUUCUCUCUCUCCUCCUUCAACGAUUGAUUUCUCGACAAUGGAAUUUAAGUUCCUGCGGAUUCUUGCACGAAUUUCCGGUUGAUCUCAAAGAUUAAAAGAACUAAUUUGCGAUUGAUAUCAAAGAUUGAGGAACGAUUUUACAUCUGAAGAUAGAGCUGUUGGGGAUGGUUUAGAACAACAUGAUGAGGCAACGGACGCCAUGGAGGAGGAAAUGAUAAGUGAAGGAAAGAGCUCAUCCAAGGAUCCAAUUGUUUCGGGCUCUCGCAAGUGCAAAAUAGAUAGUGUAGCUGAUGCGGUCAACAGUUUUGCCGAGUCCUUCAGAGAAUAUGUGCAAAGCAAAAUGAACGACACCCCGAAACCCACUUGUCAAGAGAUAUAUAUCGUUGUGUCUGAAGUAUAUGGCAUUUCUAGGAAUCAGAUUAUGAGGGCAGUAAAAAGGUUUAUGAAUGGUAAUCCCGAUGAGUUUCUAAUGUUGAAAGAGCUACCGGAGGAUGAGAAACUUGAUUGGGUACUCUUGUGCCUUGCUGAGUAGUUUGACUCACUUUCAUGUUAUUGUAGGUUUUUUCCGUUACUUUAUCAAAUACUACUCUUAAAUGUUGCUCUCGAUGUUGAGAUAACUUUUAUUAUAACAAUUUUGGAUUGUUGGAAUGUCAAAUGCCUUUUAUUUGCUAAGGAUUUAA